rnacentral:rRNA from 1 species
GUUAGGAAUAUUGGACAAUGGGCGCAAGCCUGAUCCAGCCAUGCCGCGUGAGUGAUGAAGGCCUUCGGGUUGUAAAGCUCUUUAGUCCACGAAUAUAAUGACUGUAGUGGAAGAAUAAGCCCCGGCUAACUUCGUGCCAGCAGCCGCGGUAAUACGAAGGGGGCGAGCGUUAUUCGGAAUCACUGGGCGUAAAGCGUGAGUAGGCUGUUUUGUAAGUCAGAAGUGAAAGCCCAGGGCUUAACCCUGGAAUUGCUUUUGAAACUACAAGACUCGAAUUCGGGAGAGGAUAGCGGAAUUGUCAGUGUAGCAGUGAAAUGCGUAGAUAUUGACAGGAACACCAGUGGCGCAAGCGGCUAUCUGGACCGAUAUUGACGCUGAGGCACGAAAGCGUGGGGAGCAAACAGGAUUAGAAACCCGAGUAGUCC